GAUGAACGCUGGCGGCGUGCCUAAUACAUGCAAGUCGAGCGAACGGACGAGAAGCUUGCUUCUCUGAUGUUAGCGGCGGACGGGUGAGUAACACGUGGAUAACCUACCUAUAAGACUGGGAUAACUUCGGGAAACCGUAGCUAAUACCGGAUAAUAUUUUGAACCGCAUGGUUCAAAAGUGAAAGACGGUCUUGCUGUCACUUAUAGAUGGAUCCGCGCUGCAUUAGCUAGUUGGUAAGGUAACGGCUUACCAAGGCAACGAUGCAUAGCCGACCUGAGAGGGUGAUCGGCCACACUGGAACUGAGACACGGUCCAGACUCCUACGGGAGGCAGCAGUAGGGAAUCUUCCGCAAUGGGCGAAAGCCUGACGGAGCAACGCCGCGUGAGUGAUGAAGGUCUUCGGAUCGUAAAACUCUGUUAUUAGGGAAGAACAUAUGCGUAAGUAACUGUGCUCAUCUUGACGGUACCUAAUCAGAAAGCCACGGCUAACUACGUG
rnacentral:rRNA from 1 species